rnacentral:rRNA from 1 species
GUUUUAAACCUAAUGGCUCUUUCAUGAUUAUAUGAUAGGUGGUGCAUGGCCGUUCUUAGUUCGUGGAGUGAUCUGUCUGCUUAAUUGCGUUUCAAAUUUUUAACCGAGGACCGGGUUUUGGUUUGGCUAGUGGUCCUACGAUGACUGUGAACUGUCAUGUCUUCGGAUGUACGACUAUCGGUCUAGGAUCACAUGACUUGCCCCUGGGACUCUUUUGAACGCAACGGACGUGAUUGCAACCCCUUGUUGAGAUUAGAGAUAGUCUCGAUAUUCACUGGCAAACUGGUGCUUUAUGCAGUCUUGUUGAAUGGUGGAUAAACUCGGGGGACUGCUGACUAU